GAAACAUCUAAGUACCCCGAGGAAAAGAAAUCAACCGAGAUUCCCCCAGUAGCGGCGAGCGAACGGGGAGGAGCCCAGAGCCUGAAUCAGCAUGUGUGUUAGUGGAAGCGUCUGGAAAGGCGCGCGAUACAGGGUGACAGCCCCGUACACAAAAGCGCAUGUGCUGUGAGCUCGAUGAGUAGGGCGGGACACGUGGUAUCCUGUCUGAAUAUGGGGGGACCAUCCUCCAAGGCUAAAUACUCCUGACUGACCGAUAGUGAACCAGUACCGUGAGGGAAAGGCGAAAAGAACCCCGGCGAGGGGAGUGAAAAAGAACCUGAAACCGUGUACGUACAAGCAGUGGGAGCACAGGUUUACCUGUGUGACUGCGUACCUUUUGUAUAAUGGGUCAGCGACUUAU
rnacentral:rRNA from 1 species